GUCGUAACAAGGUUUCCGUAGGUGAACCUGCGGAAGGAUCAUUCACACACGUUGAAUUCACCUGCUUCACAUGAACUUUCAAGUGUGAGGUCCCGCUUUCGGGUUCCUCGUGGGCGGCAAGGCAGCAACUGCCCUCUUUCGAGUGGUGUGCUGCCCUUGUCGUCGGUUGUCUGAACUUCAACUUGCGUGUUGUUGUCUUUUUGCCCGUUGGCGGUCAGCGCCAAGCGGUGAAUGCUUUCUUACAACUUUCAGCGACGGAUGUCUCGGCUCAAACAACGAUGAAGGGCGCAGCGAAGUGUGAUAAGCAUUGCGACUUGCAGAAUUCCGUGAACCAACAGGGACUUGAACGUAUACUGCGCUUUCGGGAUACCCCUGAAAGCAUGCCUGCUUCAGUGUCUACUUCGGUUUCAUGCUGCCGGCGGGUUUGCUUCGUGCAAGCUCCUUGUGUCGGUUGCUCGUGUCUGUGCACCGAGGAGUUUCCUGCAAACCCUUGAUGCAUCAAGCGCAUUGGCCCUUGGCAGCAACCAACUAACAGAACCUGGCCUUCUAGGUGGUUUCAUUUCUUGCGUUGGUGCCUUUGGCCUGCUCUCUCGGUCCUCAGCGACCGUUGCCUUGACAUGAAGUUAGGUCAGCAAACCCGCUGAAUUUAAGCAUAUAAGUAAGCGGUGGAUAAGAAACUAAACAGGAUUCCCUCAGUAAUGGCGAAUGAACAGGGGUGAGCUCAGCAUUGAAAUUUGGGCCCUCGGCCUUGAAUUGUAAUCUCGAGAAGCGCAACCAACGGAGGCGCAGGUGUAAGCCUCUUGGAAAAGAGCACCAGCGAGGGUGAGAGUCCCGUUCGUCACUUGCAGUCCUCCGUGUACGGUGUGCUUUCUAAGAGUCACAUUCCUCGGGCUUGGAACGCAAAAGGUUGUAAAUUUCAUUGAAAGUUAAAUAUAGGUUUGAGACCGAUAGCAAACAAGUACCAUAAGGGAAAGAUGAAAAGAACUUUGGUAAGAGAGUUAAAAGUGCAUGAAAUUGCUGAAAGGGAAGCGAAUGGAACCAGUGUUUCUUGGCGAGAUUGUUAUGCGCUAAGCUGAUAGUCGGUUUCCUCAGCGCAAACGUGGUUGCUGGCUUGGAAGUGGACGCGUGUGGUGUUUCUUGCCUUGCUUGUCAACGUCAAUUUGGAGUUGAGGAAAAUUCGAGGGACCUGGUAAGUUGCUCACGGGUGACUGAAUGUGCCUUGUAGAAAUCAUCUCUAGAUUGAAGACCUCGUGUCUGGUUGCAAUGCCCCUCUUAUGGCUUGUCGCCCUGGGAAAUUCAGCAGGUGCACUGCCUUCUUGCUGGGUGCAUUUCUUGACGCGGAGAUGGUGACAAAUGGUUUCACGCGACCCGUCUUGAAACACGGACCAAGGAGUCUAACAUAUGUGCAAGUUCCCGGGUGGCCAAACCUGCUGGCGUAAUGAAAGUGACUGCUGGGAUUUUUGCACCAGCAACCGACCAAUCGAUUUUGAGAGGUUUGAGUAUGAGCACAUCUGUUAGGACCCGAAAGAUGAUGAACUAUGCGUGA
rnacentral:rRNA from 1 species